ACUACGGGAGGCAGCAGUGGGGGAUAUUGCACAAUGGGGGGAACCCUGAUGCAGCGACGCCGCGUGGGUGAAGAAGCGCCUCGGCGCGUAAAGCCCUGUCAGCAGGGAAGAAAAUGACGGUACCUGAAGAAGAAGCCCCGGCUAACUACGUGCCAGCAGCCGCGGUAAUACGAAGGGGGCAAGCGUUAUCCGGAUUUACUGGGUGUAAAGGGGGCGCAGGCGGCGGUGCAAGCCAGGAGUGAAAGCCCGGGGCCCAACCCCGGGACUGCUCUUGGAACUGCGUGGCUGGAGUGCAGGAGGGGCAGGCGGAAUGCUUGGUGUAGCGGUGAAAUGCGUAGAUAUCAGGAGGAACACCGGUGGCGAAGGCGGCCUGCUGGACUGCAACUGACGUUGAGGCCCGAAAGCGUGGGGAGCAAACAGGAUUAGAUACCCUAGUAGUC
rnacentral:rRNA from 1 species